rnacentral:lncRNA from 1 species
AUUUCGAUAUUUCGCUUCUCGCUUUUUUUCCCCCCUCAGCUGGGGUUUGUAAUCUCUAUUGUUCUUUAGGCUGACACCAGGUUUUGUGCUUCCUGAUUUUGAUGAACAGUUUCUUGUCUAGUCCCCCUAUCUCUUUAGUAAGCACGGUCCUUUCUGUAUUUUUCCCCCACCCUCUUGUCACAUCAAAAAGAGAGAUUUGACAGUUGUUUGAUUUGCCAUUCUCAUGAUGAAGGUUUUAGAUCAAAGCCAGAGCACCAUCAGUCACAUUUAUAACACAUUUUAGGACGAGAAAAAAAUCAAGCAAAUGGGGGACAUUUUCAGGGGACCUUCAGGAGAUGCCUUGGGACAGCCUUACAGGAGGACCAAUUCUGGAGCCUGGUGGGUACGUCUUCCAUACCUACCUAGGGGAAUGACAAAGGAGGCCCAGGACUGUGCCACCAAAAAAGAAACAAAAGGGUCACUACUGAUGGAAGACCUUCUGGCAGCAUGAUACCAGUGCCUCAAACACAAGCCUGACUUUGGGCCCGGUAGUUUCAAUUUGAGGAGUCUAUUCUAAAGAAACAGACUUGUGUA